rnacentral:rRNA from 1 species
ACUUGAAUUGAAGAGUUUGAUCAUGGCUCAGAUUGAACGCUGGCGGCAGGCUUAACACAUGCAAGUCGAACGGUAGCAGGAGAAAGCUUGCUUUCUUGCUGACGAGUGGCGGACGGGUGAGUAAUGCUUGGGAAUCUGGCUUAUGGAGGGGGAUAACGACGGGAAACUGUCGCUAAUACCGCGUAUUAUCGGAAGAUGAAAGUGCGGGACUGAGAGGCCGCAUGCCAUAGGAUGAGCCCAAGUGGGAUUAGGUAGUUGGUGGGGUAAAGGCCUACCAAGCCUGCGAUCUCUAGCUGGUCUGAGAGGAUGACCAGCCACACUGGAACUGAGACACGGUCCAGACUCCUACGGGAGGCAGCAGUGGGGAAUAUUGCGCAAUGGGGGGAACCCUGACGCAGCCAUGCCGCGUGAAUGAAGAAGGCCUUAGGGUUGUAAAGUUCUUUCGGUAUUGAGGAAGGUUGAUGUGUUAAUAGCACAUCAAAUUGACGUUAAAUACAGAAGAAGCACCGGCUAACUCCGUGCCAGCAGCCGCGGUAAUACGGAGGGUGCGAGCGUUAAUCGGAAUAACUGGGCGUAAAGGGCACGCAGGCGGUUAUUUAAGUGAGGUGUGAAAGCCCUGGGCUUAACCUAGGAAUUGCAUUUCAGACUGGGUAACUAGAGUACUUUAGGGAGGGGUAGAAUUCCACGUGUAGCGGUGAAAUGCGUAGAGAUGUGGAGGAAUACCGAAGGCGAAGGCAGCCCCUUGGGAAUGUACUGACGCUCAUGUGCGAAAGCGUGGGGAGCAAACAGGAUUAGAUACCCUGGUAGU